ACUGGUGUAGCUCAGUCGGUAUAGCAUGAGACUCUUAAUCUCAGCGUUGUGAGUUCGAGUCUAACGUUGGGUG